CUGGCCACGUGACUUGCAGUCGUGGUUGCGAUGUGUUGAAACAGUAAAAAACUGUAUAAAACGUCUUAAACGACAUCCGUGUUUGAAACGGUAGAACAGCAGUUGUACAAAAAUGAUAAGAAUUGUUUUCGGAAACGCGGAACGGUCGCAUAUUAACAUAUGACAGGAAAUAAAAUCCCGGUCCAUUCGAGUUGCCUCCAAAAAUGUACGAAUCGCCUCCUAUCCUUAUCGUAAAUAAAAAGGUUAAUAUACACUAUGGUUGCCUCCGACGAUUAGGUAGUUCAUAAUUGUAUACGAAUUGCCUCUCAAAAAUGUUCGCACUAGUAACCUCCCAUAUUGAAUAAAGCAGUGGUUCUUAAACUAAACUGAAUUUAAUAUAAUAUUUAUAAUUUUAUUAAAAAUAACAAUGUAAUUGGUCAAUAAAAAAACAUGUACAU